rnacentral:rRNA from 1 species
AUUGCCCUAGUAACGGCGAGUGAAGCGGCAACAGCUCAAAUUUGAAAUCUGGCUCUCUUUGAGGGUCCGAGUUGUAAUUUGCAGAGGAUGCUUUGGCAUUGGCGGCGGUCUAAGUUCCUUGGAACAGGACAUCGCAGAGGGUGAGAAUCCCGUACGUGGGCGCCUGCCUUUGCCGUGUAAAGCUCCUUCGACGAGUCGAGUUGUUUGGGAAUGCAGCUCUAAAUGGGAGGUAAAUUUCUUCUAAAGCUAAAUACCGGCCAGAGACCGAUAGCGCACAAGUAGAGUGAUCGAAAGAUGAAAAGUACUUUGGAAAGAGAGUCAAAAAGCACGUGAAAUUGUUGAAAGGGAAGCGCUUGCAGCCAGACUUGCCCGCAGUUGCUCACCUAGGCUUUGGCCUGGGGCACUCUUCUGCGGGCAGGCCAGCAUCAGUUUGGGCGGUUGGAUAAAGGCCUCUGUCACGUAUCUCCCUUCGGGGUGACCUUAUAGGGGAGGCGCAAUGCAACCAGCCCGGACUGAGGUCCGCGCAUCUGCUAGGAUGCUGGCGUAAUGGCUGUAAGCGGCCCGUCUUGAAACACGGACCAAGGAGUCUAACAUCUAUGCGAGUGUUUGGGUGUCAAGCCCGGGCGCGCAAUGAAAGUGAACGGAGGUGGGAACCCUUUGGGUGCACCAUCGACCGAUCCUGAUGUCUUCGGAUGGAUUUGAGUAAGAGCAUAGCUGUUGGGACCCGAAAGAUGGUGAACUAUGCUUGAAUAGGGUGAAGCCAGAGGAAACUCUGGUGGAGGCUCGCAGCGGUUCUGACGUGC